UUUCUACUUCAUUGCAUAGAACCCUUGAGAACAUAUUGAUGCUCUGAAAGAUAACCCCAGAAGAGUAUGAGGAGACAUACACGGUCUACACAGGUUGCCACCAUAUAUAAAGGAGUGCAGGAGUCCAUAAAACUUACUCCCUCUGCUCUUGAAGGUGAACAGCACAUUUUAGUAGCAAAAGAAAAUUGGUAUUGAAAGCAAAACAAGGAAAGAAAUCUCUCUGGGCCCCGCUUCUGUUUCUCAAAAGAAUGCUGAAAGUCACCUGUUCUCCAAAGGUACAUGCCACCAAAUCAAGGAAAAGCAAUAGAAGGCAGCCCCAAAAUGAAGAACCAGGUAUCCUUACAGGAAUAUAGUGAACCACAAAGGGCUAUGUGAAAAUGCAUUUGCUGCAAGCGGGAACAUCAGGGAAAUUUGGUGCCACCAGCCAAGUUAACGUAUCUUUCAAUCACCUGUGAUACUGCAGAAUAAUGGCAACUACGAUGGAAA
rnacentral:sRNA from 1 species